CAAUAUUACAUAAAAUAGGUUGGGAAUGGUGUUGAUCCAUAGCACCAUAUUCGUAGUUUUUUGAGAGAAUCAAAGAAAAUUCCAAAUUUUGGACCUGCAACAUCACCAAAAUACACAAAUUAUAUAAUCAAACACGAGGAAAAAAUGAACUUAAUCAAAUUUGUUAAAUGUAUUUUGAUUUUCUUUAGUCAUGGCAAAAAUGAUGGAAAUCAGGCAAAAGUAAGGGGAGGAAACAACAAAAAUAACUCUUUUCACAGCUCCUUGGGUUUAGAGUGAACUUCACGCCUCUAUAGAUAUACAUAACUAAAAUAGAAAAUAGACAUAUAUAUACUAAAAUCUACGGUUAGGGUUCUAAAAUCAUUUCUUAUAGGAGAUGAUGGAGAAACGGCGCAUUAUAGCACAAGAAAAAAAGAAGGCUGAACACAAACUCAGAAGCAUACUUAGGAAGAAAAGAAAAAACAGUAGAUCUUUGGGUUUACAAAUACUUCCGACUUUCGGUGCUUUUGGAUGGGUUAGGAUGAAGAUUUUACUGUGGCUUUCUUUGUUUUACUCAAAGAAGGAGAUGGAAGAAUGGUAUUUCAAACCUCUGGGUUAUUAAUUGAAAAAUUAACAAAUCCUAACAGUAAAAAUGUCUUUUUCUUUUGAAUAAAGGAAACUGUAAAAAUUUAGGGAAAUAUUGGAGCUUACCAAUCAAGAUGAUUUUUAUGUCUCAUGCAUUUCGCACCUUCAAAUCCAGACCAAUUCUAACAAGGGAAAAAAAUCAGUUAGAAUCAUAAAAUUGAAAAAAGAAAAGAGAAGAACGGGAAAACGGGGGAAAUAGGAAGG
rnacentral:lncRNA from 1 species